rnacentral:rRNA from 1 species
UACGGAGGGUGCAAGCGUUACUCGGAAUUACUGGGCGUAAAGCGUGCGUAGGUGGUUCGUUAAGUCUGAUGUGAAAGCCCUGGGCUCAACCUGGGAAUGGCAUUGGAUACUGGCGACCUAGAGUGCGGUAGAGGGUGUGGAAUUCCCGGUGUAGCAGUGAAAUGCGUAGAGGUCGGGAGGAACACCAGUGGCGAAGGCGGCUACCCGGACCAGCACUGACACUGAGGCACGAAAGCGUGGGGAGCAAACAGG